rnacentral:rRNA from 1 species
ACACAUGCAGUCGAGCGAUGAUGCCCAGCUUGCUGGGUGGAUUAGUGGCGAACGGGUGAGUAACACGUGAGUAACCUGCCCCUGACUCUGGGAUAAGCGUUGGAAACGACGUCUAAUACUGGAUAUGACUACCGGCCGCAUGGUCUGGUGGUGGAAAGAUUUUUUGGUUGGGGAUGGACUCGCGGCCUAUCAGCUUGUUGGUGAGGUAAUGGCUCACCAAGGCGACGACGGGUAGCCGGCCUGAGAGGGUGACCGGCCACACUGGGACUGAGACACGGCCCAGACUCCUACGGGAGGCAGCAGUGGGGAAUAUUGCACAAUGGGCGAAAGCCUGAUGCAGCAACGCCGCGUGAGGGAUGACGGCCUUCGGGUUGUAAACCUCUUUUAGUAGGGAAGAAGCGA